rnacentral:rRNA from 1 species
GAUGAACGCUGGCGGCGUGCCUAAUACAUGCAAGUCGAGCGAACAGAUGAGGAGCUUGCUCCUCUGACGUUAGCGGCGGACGGGUGAGUAACACGUGGAUAACCUACCUAUAAGACUGGGAUAACUUCGGGAAACCGGAGCUAAUACCGGAUAAUAUAUUGAACCGCAUGGUUCAAUAGUGAAAGACGGUUUUGCUGUCACUUAUAGAUGGAUCCGCGCCGCAUUAGCUAGUUGGUAAGGUAACGGCAUACCAAGGCGACGAUGCGUAGCCGACCUGAGAGGGUGAUCGGCCACACUGGAACUGGGACACGGUCCAGACUACUAUGGGAGGCAGCAGUAGGGAAUCUUACGCAAUGGGCGAAAGCCUGACGGAGCAACGCCGCGUGAGUGAUGAAGGUCUUCGGAUCGUAAAACUCUGUUAUUAGGGAAGAACAAAUGUGUAAGUAACUAUGCACGUCUUGACGGUACCUAAUCAGAAAGCCACGGCUAACUACGUG